rnacentral:rRNA from 1 species
CUCCUACGGGAGGCAGCAGUGGGGAAUUUUGGACAAUGGGCGCAAGCCUGAUCCAGCCAUGCCGCGUGAGUGAAGAAGGCCUUCGGGUUGUAAAGCUCUUUCGGCGGGGACGAAACGGUCCGGGCUAACACCACGGACUAAUGACGGUACUCGCAGAAGAAGCACCGGCUAACUACGUGCCAGCAGCCGCGGUAAUACGUAGGGUGCAGGCGUUAAUCGGAAUUACUGGGCGUAAAGCGUGCGCAGGCGGCUCCUUAAGUCAGAUGUGAAAGCCCCGGGCUUAACCUGGGAACUGCGUUUGAAACUGGGGAGCUAGAGUGUGGAAGAGGGGGGUGGAAUUCCAGGUGUAGCAGUGAAAUGCGUAGAGAUCUGGAGGAACACCGAUGGCGAAGGCAGCCCCCUGGGCUAACACUGACGCUCAUGCACGAAAGCGUGGGGAGCAAACAGGAUUAGAUACCCUGGUAGUCCACGCCCUAAACGAUGUCAACUAGUUGUCGGGGAAGCAAUUCCUUGGUAACGAAGCUAACGCGUGAAGUUGACCGCCUGGGGAGUACGGCCGCAAGGUUAAAACUCAAAGGAAUUGACGG